AUUGAACGCUGGCGGCAUGCCUUACACAUGCAAGUCGAACGGCAGCACGGGUGCUUGCACCUGGUGGCGAGUGGCGAACGGGUGAGUAAUACAUCGGAACGUACCUUAUCGUGGGGGAUAACGCAGCGAAAGCUGUGCUAAUACCGCAUACGCCCUGAGGGGGAAAGCGGGGGAUCGAAAGACCUCGCGCGAUUAGAGCGGCCGAUGCCUGAUUAGCUUGUUGGUGGGGUAAAAGCCCACCAAGGCGACGAUCAGUAGCUGGUCUGAGAGGACGAUCGGCCACACUGGGACUGGGACACGGCCCAGACUCCUACGGGCGGCAGCAGUGGGGAAUUUUGGACAAUGGGGGCAACCCUGAUCCAGCAGUGCCGCGUGAGUGAAGAAGGCCUUCGGGUUGUAAAGCUCUUUUGUCAGGGAAGAAACACCGGCUCUAACACAGUCCGGGAAUGACGGUACCUGAAGAAUGAGCACCGGCUAACUACGUGCCAGCCGCCGCGGUAA
rnacentral:rRNA from 1 species